rnacentral:rRNA from 1 species
GAUCCUGGCUCAGAGUGAACGCUAGUGGCGUGCUUAAACACAUGCAAGUCGAACGGAUAAUAUUUGUGCUUGCAACAAAUAAAGUUAGUGGCAAACGGGUGAGUAAUACAUGGGAAUUUCCUUGUAGUAUGGAAUAACUAUUGGAAACAAUAGCUAAUACUGUAUAUUGCCGAGAGGUGAAAGAUUUAUCGCUACAAGAUAAGCCCAUGCAAGAUUAGCUAGUUGGUAAGGUAAUGGCUUACCAAGGCAACGAUCUGUAGCUGGUCUGAGAGGACGACCAGCCACACUGGAACUGAGACACGGUCCAGACUCCUACGGGAGGCAGCAGUGGGGAAUUUUGGACAAUGGGGGAAACCCUGAUCCAGCAAUGCCGCGUGAGUGAAGAAGGCCUUCGGGUUGUAAAGCUCUUUUGUCAGGGAAGAAACACCGGCUCUAACACAGUCCGGGAAUGACGGUACCUGAAGAAUAAGCACCGGCUAACUACGUG